rnacentral:lncRNA from 1 species
AUUUUAGUUCUGUCUUUCAGCCUAGCACACUCCACAUUCUCAGACAUCGCUUCUUGAGAGUGUACUAACCAUCAACUAUCAUUUCACAAUGGAGAAGGGUAGGCUGGAACUUGGAUGUGCAUUGGCAGGUCUGCAUUGGCAGACCAGAUGUCACCAUACAGACAACAAUAUCCUACAGGACAGAAAAGCUUGAAAGUAAAAGAAACUUUGGUGUUUGAAUAAACCACACAUUUGUCCUGGACAACCUGCCUAUCGUUGAACUGUUACAUGAGAGAAAAAGAGAUUUCUCUCUUAUUUGAACAAUUGCAUUUUCAAGUCUUUUUGUUACAGCAGCAUAACUGAUACCCUAACCCUGACAAAUACAUUUUUAAACAAAAGGAGGAAUGCUACUAUCGUACUCUAUGCUGGUCCAGUCUUACUUGGGGUGCAGUAUUCUCAUCUGUGAAUCACAUUUCAAGGGGCCUAAAGACAAAGUAGAAGUGUUCAGAUAACAGCAACAUGAUUGGUGAGAAAUUCAAAGUUGAAGAAACUGGAAGAGCAGAUUUAGAGUAAGUAGGAGUGCCACUUUCAAAUGUCUGAGGAACUGGCCUGUGAAAGAAUGAUUCACUUUGUUCUGUGUAGUUUCAGUAGAUAGAAGUAUGGUUCAACGGGAAAACUGAUUUUGCUGAAGAGAAAGAUUUCUGGCUGUCAGGUCUGCAUAGACAUUGGAGGCACUGAGUUCCCUGCUCAUGGAGAUAUUUUUCACAGAGCCUGGAUAAUCAUUUGGCUGGAUUUGUAACAACUGUGUAUCAUACAGCAUGAAAAUGCAUUUUCUAGCUUCCCUUGAAGUGAAAUGUGAGCAAAAAUGAUGCCAGCCACUCCCAGACCGGCCCAUAGAAACCUCCCAUAUUCUUUCUUCUUCUGCUGCUGGAUAUUGACACAGGGGAUGACUUUGAAAGCUGAGUAUUGAAGAUGGCAGAAGCUGUCUUUCAGCCUUGGUCCCUGAACAACAUGUUGAGCAGAUCCCGUGGUAAUCUGGAACUGCCCUGGACUGUAGGAAUCAACUUCUUUAUACAACAAUGGCAGAGAAGUUCUACAAUAUGGAGUCCUGUGAUAAAAGAUCAUUCUCCAUAAUGUGGGUGUCCUCAUCCAAUCAGUUGAAAGCCUGAAAAGAACAAAAAGCAGAUCUUUCUUGAGCAAGAAGGAUUCUCCAACAGACUGCCUUCAGACUUCAUCUGCAGCAUCGGCUCUUCCUGGUUCUGCAGUAAACUGUUCCUGGACUUGACUACAGCUCUUUCUCGAGUCUCCAGCCUGCUGGCUUCGUCUAUGAGAUUUUGUACUCACCAGGCAUCCACAAGCACAUGAGCCAAUUCCUUAAAAUAAAUCUCUUUCUAUACAGA